GGGGGCGACUGGUUUCGACAUGGUACGUUCGAUAUGAGGAGCAGGUCGUGGUCUCCUCUCCACGUUAAACAGGGGUACCGUCAAUUUAAUUGGCAAAGCUAAGACUCAGAGCGCUCCUGCGCUCGCCAUGGCUGCUUAAUCGCGCCUGGCUGUCGUCCCGGGAACUUCCCCGAUUCCGGGUUCGGCAUCAUUUCAGGGGAAUGCGCGCGGGCACGUAGCCGGUAUGGCUCGCGCAAAGAUCGAACCGGCUGGGAAGGGCGACGUUUGCCGGCGGACCGGCCCCUUCCGAGAACCGACCGUCUGCUAAGCCUGUAGAGCCUGAUGGAGAAGGUAGUAUGGACCGGAGUUCGAUUCUCCGCGCCUCCACCA
rnacentral:tmRNA from 2 species